rnacentral:rRNA from 1 species
GAUGAACGCUGGCGGCGUGCCUAAUACAUGCAAGUCGAGCGAACGGACGAGAAGCUUGCUUCUCUGAUGUUAGCGGCGGACGGGUGAGUAACACGUGGAUAACCUACCUAUAAGACUGGGAUAACUUCGGGAAACCGGAGCUAAUACCGGAUAAUAUUUUGAACCGCAUGGUUCAAAAGUGAAAGACGGUCUUUCUGUCACUUCUAGAUGUAUCCGCGCUGCAUUAGCUAGUUGGUAAGGUAACGGCUUACCAAGGCAACGAUGCAUAGCCGACAUGAGAGGGUGAUCGGCCACACUGGAACUGAGACACGGUACAGACGCCUACGGGAGGCAGCAGUAGGGAAACUUGCGCAAUGGGCGAAAGCCUGACGGAGCAACGCCGCGUGAGUGAUGAAGGUCUUCGGAUCGUAAAACUCUGUUAUUAGGGAAGAACAUAUGUGUAAGUAACUGUGCACAUCUUGACGGUACCUAAUCAGAAAGCCACGGCUAACCACGUG